rnacentral:rRNA from 1 species
UGGGGAAUCUUGCGCCAAUGCGCGAAAGCGUGACGCAGCGACGCCGCGUGGGGGAUGAAGGCCUUCGGGUUGUAAACCCCUUUCGGCAGGGACGAAGCGGAAGUGACGGUACCUGCAGAAGAAGCUCCGGCCAACUACGUGCCAGCAGCCGCGGUAACACGUAGGGAGCGAGCGUUGUCCGGAUUCAUUGGGCGUAAAGCGCGCGUAGGCGGUCGUGCAAGUCGGUCGUGAAAUCCCGGGGCUCAACCCCGCGAACCGCGUCCGAUACUGCGCGACUGGAGGCAGGUAGGGGAGAUCGGAAUUCCUGGUGUAGCGGUGAAAUGCGCAGAUAUCAGGAGGAACACCGGUGGCGAAGGCGGAUCUCUGGGCCUGUCCUGACGCUGAGGCGCGAAAGCUAGGGGAGCGAACAGG